rnacentral:rRNA from 1 species
GACGAACGCUGGCGGCGUGCUUAACACAUGCAAGUCGAACGGAAAGGCCCUGCUUUUGUGGGGUGCUCGAGUGGCGAACGGGUGAGUAACACGUGAGUAACCUGCCCUUGACUUUGGGAUAACUUCAGGAAACUGGGGCUAAUACCGGAUAGGAGCUCCUGCUGCAUGGUGGGGGUUGGAAAGUUUCGGCGGUUGGGGAUGGACUCGCGGCUUAUCAGCUUGUUGGUGGGGUAGUGGCUUACCAAGGCUUUGACGGGUAGCCGGCCUGAGAGGGUGACCGGACACAUUGGGGCUGGGGUACGGCCCAGACUCCUACGGGAGGCAGCAGUGGGGAAUAUUGCACAAUGGGCGGAAGCCUGAUGCAGCAACGCCGCGUGCGGGAUAACGGCCUUCGGGUUGUAAACCGCUUUCGCCUGUGACGAAGAGUGAGUGACGGUAAUGGGUAAAGAAGCACCGGCUAACUACGUG